AUGUCGAGCGGCGGCCGGAAGCAGCAGCAGCAGGCGGAGAAGCCGGCGGCGGCGGAGGACAUGGAGAUCAAGAAGGUCUUCUCCCGCUUCGACACGGACGGCGACGGCCGGAUCUCGCCGUCGGAGCUGGCCGCCGUGUCCCGGGCCAUCGCGCCGCCGGCCACCGAGUCCGCGCAGGGCCGCGAGGUGGCGUCCAUGAUGGACGAGCUCGACACCGACCGCGACGGCUACGUCGACCUGGGCGAGUUCGCCGCCUUCCACGGCCGCGGCCGCGGGGAGCGCGAGCUGGACGCCGAGCUGCGCGACGCCUUCGACAUCUACGACAUCAACGGCGACGGCCGCAUCUCCGUCGCCGAGCUCAGCAAGGUCCUCAGCCGCAUCGGCGAGGGAUGCAGCACCGAGGACUGCGAGAAGAUGAUCGCCUCCGUCGACGUCGACGGCGACGGCUGCGUCGGCUUCGACGAGUUCAAGAAGAUGAUGACCGGCGACGUCGGAGCCCGACCCGAAGCCGAAGCCGAGGCCGGCGUCCCCGACAGCAACAAAGCCAAGAAGGAGUGA
rnacentral:rRNA from 1 species